rnacentral:rRNA from 1 species
GAUGAACGCUGGCGGCGUGCCUAAUACAUGCAAGUCGAGCGACCAGACGAGGAGCUUGCUUCUCUGACGUUAGCGGCGGACGGGUGAGUAACACGUGGAUAACCUACCUAUAAGACUGGGAUAACUUCGGGAAACCGGAGCUAAUACCGGAUAAUAUAUUGAACCGCAUGGUUCAAUAGUGAAAGACGGUUUUGCUGUCACUUAUAGCUGGAUCCGCGCCGCAUUAGCUAGUUGGUAAGGUAACGGCUUACCAAGGCAACGAUGCGUAGCCGACCUGAGAGGGUGAUCGGCCACACUGGAACUGAGACACGGUCCAGACUCCUACGGGAGGCAGCAGUAGGGAAUCUUCCGCAAUGGGCGAAAGCCUGACGGAGCAACGCCGCGUGAGUGAUGAAGGUCUUCGGAUCGUAAAACUCUGUUAUUAGGGAAGAACAAAUGUGUAAGUAACUAUGCACGUCUUGACGGUACCUAAUCAGAAAGCCACGGCUAACUACGUG